AUUUGGACUUGCUGUUUCCUACUUCCCGGAUAAGUUUGGUUUGUUUUUAUUGACAAGGAUUUGUUAUUGUUGUGAACUGCAAAACUUAGGCAUUAGUACAAAUUUAGGGAAACUAAUAUACUAUUUAUAGCAAUAUAAUAACAUCGCGUUAGCUGCCGUGUCAAUCCAACUGCGCAUAUUAUGGCAAGUGAUAAGAAUUCGACCAGAUACGACACGCUAGAAAAUCUUCGCAAAGAAGCGGAACAGCUACGCAAAAAGUUGCAAGCAGAUCGAAGGAAUUUAAAUGAUGCCGAAUUGUUUGUUAUGGGGAAAAAGGCAGGAGGUUCACCAUCCAUUCAAGUGAGAUGCCGUCGUAUACUUAAAGGACAUACUGGCAAAGUACUGGACAUGGAUUGGUCUCUUGAUAAACGUAGAAUUGUCAGUUCAUCACAGGAUGGAAAAAUCUUAGUUUGGGAUGGAUUCACUACAAAUAAGGAGCAAGCAAUUAGCCUUCCAACCACAUGGGUCAAUGCUUGUGCUUACGCUCCUUCUGGAGGCUCCAUUGCUUGCGGUGGCUUGGAUAACAAAUGUUCCGUGUUCCCAUUAAAUUCUUCUUCUAAUUCAUCAACGCUGUCAGUAAGCAACAAACAAAACCCAGUGUCAUCUGGACCUGCAGACACUGGGGCAGGAACUAUUAUGCAACAAAGAAAAGUGGUUGCUAUGCACACAAGUUACAUAUCUGCAUGCACUUUUACCCAUUCAGAUUACCAGAUCUUAACAGCUUCAGGAGAUAGCACAUGCGCGUUAUGGGAUGUGGAAAGUGGACAAUUAUUACAGAGUUUCCACGGUCAUCAAUCUGAUGUAAUGGAUGCAGCAUUGUCGCCAUGUGAGACUGGGAACUUGUUUAUAUCAGGGGGUUGUGACAAGAAUGCUUGUGUAUGGGACAUGAGAACUGCAAAGUGUAUUCAAUCCUUUCAAACACAUAACUCUGACAUCAACACAGUCAAGUGGUUUCCUACUGGUGAAGCUUUUGCAACAGGUUCUGAUGACGGCACGAUUAAAAUGUAUGACUUGCGCGCCGACCGUGAGAUAGCUUGUUAUGAACGACCAAAUGUCUUGUUUGGAGUAAAUUCUGUGGAUUUCUCUGUCAGUGGUAAGACAACAUCACCAGCUGCAUGUGUUUGUUAUUUUAUUUUUUUCUUUGUGGGAGGGGUCUUAAAGCCAAUGCGCCUUGGGAACAGAUUUAGGCUACAGUUGGCCCAUUGUCUCAACAUAGGCAAACCUUUAACAGAGAACGUUAAACGAUUUUUUACAAUGAGUAUCUUUUAUUUACAAUGACCAUGAGUAUUUUUUUUUCUAUUAAAUAAGAAAAAAUUAAAGGAGAAAAAAACAUUGAGUAUAUUUCAGGUCGGAUUGUACUUGGUGGUUACAAUGACUACCUCGUGCAUGUGUGGGACACGAUUACCGGGGAGAAGCUGACAGCGUUGUUCGGCCACGAAAAUCGUAUCAGCUGCUUAAAGAUGUCUCCUGAUGGCACAAGCUUCUGUACUGGAAGUUGGGAUACAACUUUAAGAAUAUGGGCCUAAGUCCAAACCUGCCAUAGAUACAUGAAAGACAAACUGUUGCUUCAAUUUUUGUCACCAAUUAAUCAAAGGUAGACCAUUUUCUUUACGUUGUUUCGAAUGUUUCCCAGUGUUCACUGUGGUUGAAAGAUAUUGCGUACUGACAGUACAGUGACUACACAAUCUCUACCACCUUUAUUUUCAACUCUUGCCAGUGUCAGUGUACCAGUAUACCACUUGUAGUUAACUCGAGCAUGAGAUUACAUUUUUUUUCAAAGUCUAAAGCCCACUGCUAAAUCAUCUUCAAUUUUCAUUAAAAUUUUACGAUUUUUUAUCUAUCCUCAGAUACAGGAACCUUUUUUUUGAUUCCUUACUGUUUUUGCUGUCUUCUUAUCAAAAUGUUGCGUAAAUACAUUAUCCCUUUGUUUUUUAUGUUGUGCAACGCCAUUUUUUAUGUUGUGUACCACUAUUCGAGUAGGGGUAUACCUUUUCAAGACUAUUUUUCAAAUGUUUAAUCAGUUGUUUACUUUAUAUGAUAAUUAUAAUCUUUUCUGUCAUAGCAACAGUUUUUUCUAAGCAACAUAAAAACAACACUAAAUACGUAACUUAUAACUAAAGUAAAACUGACACUAAAUCUCAAUUUAUCCCCCACUUGUAUUUUUCCGUCCGUCUUGAUUUAAUUCCAAACCAAUGUAAAAGCUGAUAUCGCCUGGGCUUGCCAACCACAUAAAGGACUUUGCACCCAUACACCAUAACCCAGUAACCUUCAACAAGCUUACACAGCAUUAAGUUGCUCCAAAAAUCAAAGCUUGCCGUUUUAUACGUUGUACUGAGUUCUAUUAUUUAUUUUGUCGUUUGUUCCGUUUAUAUUGGCUAUGUAUAAUUAGCAAGGUAAAGAUUCCUUUGUUAAAAAAUCGCUUAUUAUUGUAACUUGCCCGUCUAUGCCACGUCAGGUGAACAUGAUUUAAUGGACCUAGUUCCUUUCUAAAUUACACAAGGUUUUUCUACGUUCAGCACAUUGCAGAAGUGUUACUGAGCACACACAUGGCGUUUCGUGAUAUCUUGUGUUCGUGUUUUUAUUUGUGGGUAUCAUCAAGCUUUGUUCCCGUGCAAUAUAUACUCACCACAUUCACCGAUUAGCGAUCUCUUUGAGCGUCAAUAAAAUCAGCGAUUAAA